GGCUUUCAUUUGCACAUUGGAGGGGUGCUUACUUCAACUCAAAAUUGCGGUGAUGAAGGCCUGCAUUAGUUCAGCCCUUACCAAGACAAGUGCAUAACUAAAAACAAAUCAUAAGUUCCAGAAAUAUUAUAAUAUACUGAAAACAGGGCCUAUGAAGGCCUAUCCUACCCUCAUUGUGAUCUUAAUCAAAAGUCAUUUUUUCAGCUUCGUGUCUAAGGGACUCAAAC
rnacentral:misc_RNA from 1 species